UCCGAGUUACCCCGGCAGUCUCCUAUGAGUCCCCACCAUUACGUGCUGGCAACAUAGGACGAGGGUUGCGCUCGUUGCGGGACUUAACCCAACAUCUCACGACACGAGCUGACGACAACCAUGCACCACCUGUAUACCGACCUUGCGGGGCACACAUUUCUGCAUGUUUCCUCUACAUGUCAAGCCUUGGUAAGGUUCUUCGCGUUGCAUCGAAUUAAUCCGCAUGCUCCGCCGCUUGUGCGGGCCCCCGUCAAUUCCUUUGAGUUUUAGCCUUGCGGCCGUACUCCCCAGGCGGGGCGCUUAAUGCGUUAGCUACGGCACGGAUUCCGUGGAAGGAACCCACACCUAGCGCCCACCGUUUACAGCAUGGACUAC
rnacentral:misc_RNA from 1 species